UCUGCAUCCACAAGCGGCAGCUCGUUUUCAUACUGAUGUCGAUAACGCCGUAACCGGAAAACUCUUUGAAUAUUCAAAUUGGAAAAAACAUUAACUUCGAUUGCACCGAAGUUAGUAGAACACCAUUCACAAUAAAAAAAGCUUCAUACAAAAACUUAAUUUUCAUCGGUUUUGCUAUGUUUAGAUGUAUAUGCUAUAUUGGUCCGAUCAAAGAAAUUUAUUCGGAUAUUAUAGCGGUCCUUGGCCAAUAAAUUGUGCGGACAUCAUUCGAUUGUAAGUAUCAAUGUACGUUAACGGGGAAUUAAGGCGAUGAUAUCGUUGAUUUGGGAUUCGCUAAUUUAUUCCGUUCACAAUAUAGUCGGACCAGAGCCGGAUGUGUAUCCGGUCACAGACGGUUACAAAUGCAGAAAACUAUUAAGAUAAGACUAUAAAAAUAUGCAUAGGUAUAUUUUAAAAUAAAAUAAAUUUUGAAUGUAAGUAACAUUA